rnacentral:rRNA from 1 species
GAUGAACGCUGGCGGCGUGCCUAAUACAUGCAAGUCGAGCGAACGGACGAGAAGCUUGCUUCUCUGAUGUUAUCGGCGGACGGGUGAGUAACACGUGGAUAACCUACCUAUAAGACUGGGAUAACUUCGGGAAACCGGAGCUAAUACCGGAUAAUAUUUUGAACCGCAUGGUUCAAAAGUGAAAGACGGUCUUGCUGUCACUUAUAGAUGGAUCCGCGCUGCAUUAGCUAGUUGGUAAGGUAACGGCUUACCAAGGCAACGAUGCAUAGCCGACCUGAGAGGGUGAUCGGCCACACUGGAACUGAGACACGGUCCAGACUCCUACGGGAGGCAGCAGUAGGGAAUCUUCCGCAAUGGGCGAAAGCCUGACGGAGCAACGCCGCGUGAGUGAUGAAGGUCUUCGGAUCGUAAAACUCUGUUAUUAGGGAAGAACAUAUGUGUAAGUAACUGUGCACAUCUUGACGGUACCUAAUCAGAAAGCCACGGCUAACUACGCG